AUUGAACGCUGGCGGCAUGCCUUACACAUGCAAGUCGAACGGUAACAGGUCUUCGGAUGCUGACGAGUGGCGAACGGGUGAGUAAUACAUCGGAACGUGCCCGAUCGUGGGGGAUAACGCAGCGAAAGCUGUGCUAAUACCGCAUACGAUCUACGGAUUGAAAGCGGGGGACUCGCAAGGGCCUCGCGCGGACGGAGCGGCCGAUGGCAGAUUAGGUAGUUGGUGGGAUAAAAGCUUACCAAGCCGACGAUCUGUAGCUGGUCUGAGAGGACGACCAGCCACACUGGGACUGAGACACGGCCCAGACUCCUACGGGAGGCAGCAGUGGGGAAUUUUGGACAAUGGGCGCAAGCCUGAUCCAGCCAUGCCGCGUGCAGGAUGAAGGCCUUCGGGUUGUAAACUGCUUUUGUACGGAACGAAAAAGACCUUCUCUAAUAAAGGGGUGAAUGACGGUACCGUAAGAAUAAGACACCGGCUAACUAACGUGCCAGCAGCCGCGGUAA
rnacentral:rRNA from 1 species